UACGUAGGGGGCAAGCGUUGUCCGGAUUUAUUGGGCGUAAAGAGCGUGUAGGCGGCUAGAUAGGUCCGUUGUGAAAACUCGAGGCUCAACCUCGAGACGUCGAUGGAAACCAUCUAGCUAGAGUCCGGAAGAGGAGAGUGGAAUUCCUGGUGUAGCGGUGAAAUGCGCAGAUAUCAGGAGGAACACCGGUGGCGAAGGCGGGUCUCUGGGCAACAACUGACGCUGAGGAGCGAAAGCGUGGGGAGCGAACAGG
rnacentral:rRNA from 1 species